UGGCUCAGUGGGUGAGAGCACUGGCUGCUCUUCCAGAGGACCUGGGUUCCAUUCCCAG
rnacentral:tRNA from 1 species